rnacentral:rRNA from 1 species
CCUACGGGAGACAGCAGUGGGGAAUAUUGCACAAUGGGGAAAACCCUGAUGCAGCGACGCCGCGUGAGUGAAGAAGUAUUUCGGUAUGUAAAGCUCUAUCAGCAGGGAAGAAGAAAGACGGUACCUGACUAAGAAGCCCCGGCUAACUACGUCCCAGCAGCCGCGGUAAUACGUCGGGGGCAAGCGUUAUCCGGAUUUACUGGGUGGAAAGGGAGCGUAGACGGCUGUGCAAGUCUGAGGUGAAAGCCCAGGGCUCAACCCUGGGACUGCUUUGGAAACUGUGGAGCUAGAGUGCUGGAGAGGUAAGUGGAAUUCCUAGGGUAGCGGUGAAAUGCGUAGAUAUUAGGAGGAACAUCAGUGGCGAAGGCGGCUUACUGGACAGUAACUGACGUUGAGGCUCGAAAGCGUGGGGAGCAAACAGGAUUAGAUACCCGAGUAGUC